UACGUAGGGUCCAAGCGUUAUCCGGAUUAACUGGGCGUAAAGAGAUGCGUAGGCGGCUGAUUAAGCGGAUAUUGAAAGCCCACGGCUCAACCGUGCGGUUGGUAUCCGAACUGAUCAGCUAGAGUAUGAGAGGGGUCGCUGGAAUUGCUGGUGUAGGAGUGAAAUCCGUAGAUAUCAGCAGGAACACCGAUGGCGAAGGCAGGCGACUGGCUCAUUACUGACGCUGAGGCUCGAAAGCAUGGGUAGCGAACGGG
rnacentral:misc_RNA from 1 species